rnacentral:rRNA from 1 species
GACGAACGCUGGCGGCGUGCUUAACACAUGCAAGUCGAACGGAAAGGCCCUGCUUGCAGGGUACUCGAGUGGCGAACGGGUGAGUAACACGUGGGUGAUCUGCCCUGCACUUCGGGAUAAGCCUGGGAAACUGGGUCUAAUACCGGAUAGGAGCCAUUUUUAGUGUGAUGGUUGGAAAGUUUUUUCGGUGUAGGAUGAGCUCGCGGCCUAUCAGCUUGUUGGUGGGGUAAUGGCCUACCAAGGCGGCGACGGGUAGCCGGCCUGAGAGGGUGGACGGCCACAUUUGGACUGAGAUACGGCCCAGACUCCUACGGGAGGCAGCAGUGGGGAAUAUUGCACAAUGGGCGCAAGCCUGAUGCAGCGACGCCGCGUGGGGGAUGACGGCCUUCGGGUUGUAAACUCCUUUCGCUAGGGACGAAGCUUUUUGUGACGGUACCUAGAUAAGAAGCACCGGCUAACUACGUA